AGCGUUGCUCGGAAUUACUGGGCGUAAAGCGCGCGUAGGCGGCUUCGCAAGUCAGAGGUGAAAGCCCGGGGCUCAACCCCGGAAUUGCCUUUGAGACUGCGUCGCUAGAAUCCAGGAGAGGUGAGUGGAAUUCCGAGUGUAGAGGUGAAAUUCGUAGAUAUUCGGAAGAACACCAGUGGCGAAGGCGGCUCACUGGACCGGUAUUGACGCUGAGGUGUGAAAGCGUGGGGAGCAAACAGGAUUAGAUACCCUGGUAGUCCACGCCGUAAACGAUGAAGACUAGCUGUCGGGGGCCUUAGGCUUUCGGUGGCGCAGCUAACGCAUUAAGUCUUCCGCCUGGGGAGUACGGCCGCAAGGUUAAAACUCAAAGAAAUUGACGGGGCCUGCACAAGCGGCGGAGCAUGUGGUUUAAUUCGAAGC
rnacentral:rRNA from 1 species